rnacentral:tRNA from 1 species
AAAGGGAGACCUAAUUCGGGUAUGGGAUGAAAAAAAAGUAGUCCCAACCAAGAAUCAAUCCCAAAAGGUCGGAGCGAGGCGAAAUUGGCUUUCAAACUAGGUUCUGGGUUCACAGAAGACCUGAAUCAGGAACAAGGGCUAUUAGCUCAGGUGGUUAGAGCGCACCCCUGAUAAGGGUGAGGUCCCUGGUUCGAGUCCAGGAUGGCCCACCUGCACAGGUGGCAAAAACAAGAGAAGCGAGGAAUCAGCACCUUAUCUUAUAUACAUAUAUAAGAGAGAAUGCUGGCUCUGAGUACAGAGUCCAGAGGAACCUUGAAAACUGCAUAGAGCUAGGUGAAAAAGCCAAAAAAGAAGACCGCAAG